AACGUAGGAGCCAAGCGUUAUCCGAAUUCACUGGGCGUAAAGCGCGUGCAGGCGGCUGGGUAAGUUGGAUGUGAAAUGCCGGAGCUCAACUCCGUGCACGCCGGGGGAUACUGGAGGACUGGAGACGAGUAGAGGCAAGCGGAAUUCCGGGUGUAGCGGUGGAAUGCGUAGAGAUCCGGAAGAACACCGGAGGCGAAGGCGGCUGGCUGGGCUUGGUCUGACGCUGAGGCGCGAAAGCGUGGGGAGCAAACAGG
rnacentral:rRNA from 1 species